GAUGAACGCUGGCGGCGUGCCUAAUACAUGCAAGUCGAGCGAACAGACGAGGAGCUUGCGCCUCGGACGUUAGCGGCGGACGGGUGAGUAACACGUGGAUAACCUACCUAUAAGACUGGGAUAACUUCGGGAAACCGGAGCUAAUAGCGGAGAAUAUAUUGAACCGCAUGGUUCAAUAGUGAAAGACGGUUUUGCUGGCACUUAUAGAUGGAUCCGCGCCGUAUUAGGUAGUUGGUAAGGUAAAGGCUUACGAAGGCAACGAUGCGUAGCCGACCUGAGAGGCUGAUCGGCCACACUGGAACUGAGACACAGUCCAGACUCCUACGGGAGGCAGCAGUAGGGAACCUUCCGCAAUGGGCGAAAGCCUGACGGAGCAACGCCGCGCGAGUGAUGACGGUCUUCGGAUCGUAAAACUCUGUUAUUAGUGAAGAACCACUGUGUAAGUAACUAUGCCCGUCUUGACGGUACCUAAUCAGAAAGCCCCGGCUAACUACGUG
rnacentral:rRNA from 1 species